rnacentral:rRNA from 1 species
AUUGAACGCUGGCGGCAGGCCUAACACAUGCAAGUCGAACGAGUGGCGGACGGGUGAGUAAUGUCUGGGAAACUGCCUGAUGGAGGGGGAUAACUACUGGAAACGGUAGCUAAUACCGCAUACCAUCAGAUGUGCCCAGAUGGGAUUAGCUAGGUGGGGGGGUAACGGCUCCCCAAGGCGACGAUCCCUAGCUGGUCUGCGAGGAUGACCGGCAAAACUGGACCUGAGACACGGUCCAGACUCCUACGGGAGGCAGCGGUGGGGAAUAUUGCACAAUGGGCGCAAGCCUGAUGCAACCAGGCCGGGUGUAUGAAGAAGGCCUUCGGGUUGUAAAGUACUUUCAGCGGGGAGGCGUUACCCGCAGAAGAAGCACCGGCUAACUCCGUGCCAGCAGCCGCGGUAUUC